rnacentral:rRNA from 1 species
GUCUACGGCCAUACCACCCUGAACGCGCCCGAUCUCGUCUGAUCUCGGAAGCUAAGCAGGGUCGGGCCUGGUUAGUACUUGGAUGGGAGAAGCCAGGGCCAUCAACUCAAGGCGCUAUAGACU